rnacentral:rRNA from 1 species
CGGGGGGCAGCAGGCGCGAAAACUCCGCAAUACGCGAAAGCGUGACGGGGGAACUCCAAGUGCGCUCGCGCAAGCGAGUGCUUUUGCAGAGUGCAAACAGCUCUGCGAAUAAAAGCGGGGUAAGACCGGUGCCAGCCGCCGCGGUAACACCGGCCGCUUGAGUGGCGACCACUAUUAUUGGGCCUAAAGCGUCCGUAGCCGGUUUGGCAAGUCCUUAGAUAAAUCCACUCGUUCAACGAAUGGAAUUCUAAAGAUACUGCCAGACUCGGGGGCGAGAGAAGUCGGAGGUACUUCUAGGGUAGCGGUGAAAUGUUAUAAUCCUAGAGGGACCACCAGUGGCGAAGGCGUCCGACUAGAGCGUGCCCGACGGUGAGGGACGAAAGCCAGGGGAGCGAACGGGAUUAGAUACCCCGGUAGUC